rnacentral:lncRNA from 10 species
ACUGGCUUGGUCCAUACUCCUCGUCAUCUACGGCUUUAGGUGCAGUACCAAGUGCUGUACAGGCAUUGUCUUCGCGGAUGCACCUGCUGCGACCUCACAUUAAAAGGAGAAACGGACGCUGAUCAGGGAGGAAAAGACCCUGCCCGAGGACCCUGGAAGGCUGCUGGCCCUGCUACAUUCCUGCAUUGGCCUUAGCUGAUCACCACUUUCUUCGAGGUCUGCACCUUGGCCGAGAGAGGAGCAGCGAAUUCCCUGUCCUCCCUCACCCUGCGUCCUGAGCCAUCUCCCAACUCCUCAAAGCCCCUGGAGACCAUGCUUCAACCAGACGCAGGCCAUUCUCCCCCAUUUCCAUUCUGAAACCACUCACUCCAGGCCUUUCUUCACCUUGGAGUCUUGGCCCAAUAAAA